UUAGAUUACGUGAAUAAAGAG
ensembl:piRNA 21ur-4502 ncRNA